rnacentral:rRNA from 1 species
UACGUAGGGUGCGAGCGUUAUCCGGAAUUACUGGGCGUAAAGCGUGCGCAGGCGGUCUUGCAAGACAGAUGUGAAAUCCCCGAGCUCAACUUGGGAGCUGCAUUUGUGACUGCAUGACUAGAGUACGGUAGAGGGGAAUGGAAUUCCGCAUGUAGCAGUGAAAUGCGUAGAUAUGCGGAGGAACACCGAUGGCGAAGGCAAUUCCCUGGACCUGUACUGACGCUCAUGCACGAAAGCGUGGGGAGCAAACAGG